rnacentral:rRNA from 1 species
UAGUCCACGCCGUAAACGAUGAGCACUAGGUUUUGGGGGUAUUGAUCCCUUCAGAACCACAGCUAACGCAUUAAGUGCUCCGCCUGGGGAGUACGGUCGCAAGAUUAAAACUCAAAGGAAUAGACGGGGACCCGCACAAGUGGUGGAGCAUGUGGUUUAAUUCGAAGAUACGCGAAGAACCUUACCUGGCCUUGACAUUGAAAGAAUCUGCUAGAGAUAGCGGAGUGCCUUCGGGAGCUUGAAAACAGGUGCUGCACGGCUGUCGUCAGCCCGUGUCGUGAGAUGUUGGGUUAAGUCCCGCAACGAGCGCAACCCUCGUCACUAGUUACUAACGGUUCGGCCGAGGACUCUAGUGAGACUGCCUUCGCAAGGAGGAGGAAGGUGAGGACGACGUCAAGUCAUCAUGGCCCUUACGGCCAGGGCAACACACGUGCUACAAUGGUUGGGACAAUGAGACGCGAUACCGCGAGGUGGAGCAAAUCUAUAAACCCAAUCUCAGUUCGGAUUGU